AACGCGAAGAACCUUACCUGGUCUUGACAUCCUCGGGAGUUUUCAGAGAUGAGAAUGUGCCUUCGGGAACCGUGAGACAGGUGCUGCAUGGCUGUCGUCAGCUCGUGUUGUGAAAUGUUGGGUUAAGUCCCGCAACGAGCGCAACCCUUAUCCUUUGUUGCCAGCGGUCCGGCCGGGAACUCAAAGGAGACUGCCAGUGAUAAACUGGAGGAAGGUGGGGAUGACGUCAAGUCAUCAUGGCCCUUACGACCAGGGCUACACACGUGCUACAAUGGCGCAUACAAAGAGAAGCGACCUCGCGAGAGCAAGCGGACCUCAUAAAGUGCGUCGUAGUCCGGAUUGGAGUCUGCAACUCGACUCCAUGAAGUCGGAAUCGCUAGUAAUCGUGGAUCAGAAUGCCACGGUGAAUACGUUCCCGGGCCUUGUACACACCG
rnacentral:rRNA from 1 species